GACGUAGGGGGCCAGCGUUGUUCGGAAUUACUGGGUGUAAAGGGUUCGUAGGCGGUGCGGCAAGUUGGGAGUGAAAUCUCUGGGCUUAACCCAGAGGCUGCUUCCAAAACUGCUGUGCUUGAGUGUGGGAGAGGCGCGUGGAAUUGCAGGUGUAGCGGUGAAAUGCGUAGAUAUCAGGAGGAACACCCGUAGCGAAGGCGGCACACUGGGCCGGUACUGACGCUGAGGAGCGAAAGCGUGGGGAGCAAACAGG
rnacentral:rRNA from 1 species